UACGGAGAGUGCAAACGUUGUUCGGAUUCAUUGGGCUUAAAGGGCACGUAGGCGGUCGGCAUAGUCGGAUGUGAAAGCCCUCGGCUUAACCGAGGAACGGCAUCCGAUACUGGCCGGCUUGAGCCAAGGAGGGGAGAGUGGAACUGCUGGUGUAGCGGUGAAAUGCGUAGAUAUCAGCAGGAACGCCGGUGGCGAAAGCGACUCUCUGGCCUUGUGCUGACGCUGAGGUGCGAAAGCUAGGGGAG
rnacentral:rRNA from 1 species